AUUGAACGCUGGCGGCAGGCCUAACACAUGCAAGUCGAACGAGUGGCGGACGGGUGAGUAAUGUCUGGGAAACUGCCUGAUGGAGGGGGAUAACUACUGGAAACGGUAGCUAAUACCGCAUACCAUCGGAUGUGCCCAGAUGGGAUUAGCUAGUAGGUGGGGUAAAGGCUCACCUAGGCGACGAUCCCUAGCUGGUCUGAGAGGAUGACGCGCCCAACUGGAACUGGGACACGUGCCAGACGCCUCCGGUAGGCAGCAGUGGGGAAUAUUGCACAGUGGGCGCAAGCCUGAUGCAGCCAUGCCGCGUGUAUGAAGAAGGCCUUCGGGUUGUAAAGUACUUUCAGCGGGGAGGCGGUACCCGCAGAAGAAGCACCGGCUAACUCCGUGCCAGCAGCCGCGGUAAUAC
rnacentral:rRNA from 1 species